rnacentral:antisense_RNA from 1 species
AAAAUGUGUCUGGAAUUGGUGGGUUCUUGGUCUUACUGACUUUAAGAAUAAAGUUGCAGACUUUUGUGGUGAUCCACUCUACCUCAUAUUGUCUUAUAAUGGCCAUCCAGUUUAUCCUAGAGCCCUUGUAUGACACAUGCCUAUUGGAGCAUAGGAAUGCCAAUAUUUUACCUCUUGGGUACUUUCUGUGUAGAAGAUUCAUAACAAGAACAAUGCUUAUUCUGCAAUUCUUUAUAUAAAGUAAGAAGAAAGCCCAAAGACAAAACCAGAGACAACUGGCUGCUGCAUCGCCCACCCAGUGGCAGUAGUGUGAGCUAUGGACAAAAGAUCUAAGUCUCCGGGACAAAGAGUUGUGCAGCUGCUCAUUUUCCUGUUGACUUCUAAGACUUGGAGAUUUUUGUGAGAUUGGGACCUAUCUACAGAGCUCCAGAGGGAAGUGAGAAGGAUGUUCACUUGCUGGUGAGAGAAGGAGCUGGUU